rnacentral:rRNA from 1 species
CCCUUAGAUGUUCUGGGCUGCACGCGUGCUACAAUGGCGUUUCCAGCAAGUCUGCGAACCCGAGAGGGCCAGCGGAUCUUCGAAUUGGCGUCGUGAUCGGGACAGUCGAUUGCAAUUAUUUGACUCAAACGAGGAAUUCCUUGUAAUCGCGAUUCAUCAUAUUGCGCUGAAUACGUCCCUGCCCUUUGUACACACCGCCCGUCGCUCCUACCGAUUGAGCGAUCCGGUAAAUGUUUUGGAUUGGUGCCGGGGCGGCUAGCUGCCGGUCGCUACGAAAUUUUGUGAACCUUAUCGCUUAGAGGAAGGAAAAGUCGUAACA